AUCGUUCAACCUUUAAUUAGGUCGGAAGUAAGCAACAGCUGAAGGAACGCGCA
rnacentral:ncRNA from 10 species